rnacentral:rRNA from 1 species
GGGUUGUGAGGUUAAGCGACUAAGCGUACACGGUGGAUGCCCUGGCAGUCAGAGGCGAUGAAGGACGUGCUAAUCUGCGAUAAGCGUCGGUAAGGUGAUAUGAACCGUUAUAACCGGCGAUUUCCGAAUGGGGAAACCCAGUGUGUUUCGACACACUAUCAUUAACUGAAUCCAUAGGUUAAUGAGGCGAACCGGGGGAACUGAAACAUCUAAGUACCCCGAGGAAAAGAAAUCAACCGAGAUUCCCCCAGUAGCGGCGAGCGAACGGGGAGCAGCCCAGAGCCUGAAUCAGUGUGUGUGUUAGUGGAAGCGUCUGGAAAGGCGCGCGAUACAGGGUGACAGCCCCGUACACAAAAAUGCACAUGCUGUGAGCUCGAUGAGUAGGGCGGGACACGUGGUAUCCUGUCUGAAUAUGGGGGGACCAUCCUCCAAGGCUAAAUACUCCUGACUGACCGAUAGUGAACCAGUACCGUGAGGGAAAGGCGAAAAGAACCCCGGCGAGGGGAGUGAAAAAGAACCUGAAACCGUGUACGUACAAGCAGUGGGAGCACGCUUAGGCGUGUGACUGCGUACCUUUUGUAUAAUGGGUCAGCGACUUAUAUUCUGUAGCAAGGUUAACCGAAUAGGGGAGCCGAAGGGAAACCGAGUCUUAACUGGGCGUUAAGUUGCAGGGUAUAGACCCGAAACCCGGUGAUCUAGCCAUGGGCAGGUUGAAGGUUGGGUAACACUAACUGGAGGACCGAACCGACUAAUGUUGAAAAAUUAGCGGAUGACUUGUGGCUGGGGGUGAAAGGCCAAUCAAACCGGGAGAUAGCUGGUUCUCCCCGAAAGCUAUUUAGGUAGCGCCUCGUGAAUUCAUCUCCGGGGGUAGAGCACUGUUUCGGCAAGGGGGUCAUCCCGACUUACCAACCCGAUGCAAACUGCGAAUACCGGAGAAUGUUAUCACGGGAGACACACGGCGGGUGCUAACGUCCGUCGUGAAGAGGGAAACAACCCAGACCGCCAGCUAAGGUCCCAAAGUCAUGGUUAAGUGGGAAACGAUGUGGGAAGGCCCAGACAGCCAGGAUGUUGGCUUAGAAGCAGCCAUCAUUUAAAGAAAGCGUAAUAGCUCACUGGUCGAGUCGGCCUGCGCGGAAGAUGUAACGGGGCUAAACCAUGCACCGAAGCUGCGGCAGCGACGCUGAUGCGUUGUUGGGUAGGGGAGCGUUCUGUAAGCCUGCGAAGGUGUGCUGUGAGGCAUGCUGGAGGUAUCAGAAGUGCGAAUGCUGACAUAAGUAACGAUAAAGCGGGUGAAAAGCCCGCUCGCCGGAAGACCAAGGGUUCCUGUCCAACGUUAAUCGGGGCAGGGUGAGUCGACCCCUAAGGCGAGGCCGAAAGGCGUAGUCGAUGGGAAACAGGUUAAUAUUCCUGUACUUGGUGUUACUGCGAAGGGGGGACGGAGAAGGCUAUGUUGGCCGGGCGACGGUUGUCCCGGUUUAAGCGUGUAGGCUGGUUUUCCAGGCAAAUCCGGAAAAUCAAGGCUGAGGCGUGAUGACGAGGCACUACGGUGCUGAAGCAACAAAUGCCCUGCUUCCAGGAAAAGCCUCUAAGCAUCAGGUAACAUCAAAUCGUACCCCAAACCGACACAGGUGGUCAGGUAGAGAAUACCAAGGCGCUUGAGAGAACUCGGGUGAAGGAACUAGGCAAAAUGGUGCCGUAACUUCGGGAGAAGGCACGCUGAUAUGUAGGUGAAGUCCCUCGCGGAUGGAGCUGAAAUCAGUCGAAGAUACCAGCUGGCUGCAACUGUUUAUUAAAAACACAGCACUGUGCAAACACGAAAGUGGACGUAUACGGUGUGACGCCUGCCCGGUGCCGGAAGGUUAAUUGAUGGGGUUAGCCGCAAGGCGAAGCUCUUGAUCGAAGCCCCGGUAAACGGCGGCCGUAACUAUAACGGUCCUAAGGUAGCGAAAUUCCUUGUCGGGUAAGUUCCGACCUGCACGAAUGGCGUAAUGAUGGCCAGGCUGUCUCCACCCGAGACUCAGUGAAAUUGAACUCGCUGUGAAGAUGCAGUGUACCCGCGGCAAGACGGAAAGACCCCGUGAACCUUUACUAUAGCUUGACACUGAACAUUGAGCCUUGAUGUGUAGGAUAGGUGGGAGGCUUUGAAGUGUGGACGCCAGUCUGCAUGGAGCCGACCUUGAAAUACCACCCUUUAAUGUUUGAUGUUCUAACGUGGACCCGUGAUCCGGGUUGCGGACAGUGUCUGGUGGGUAGUUUGACUGGGGCGGUCUCCUCCUAAAGAGUAACGGAGGAGCACGAAGGUUGGCUAAUCCUGGUCGGACAUCAGGAGGUUAGUGCAAUGGCAUAAGCCAGCUUGACUGCGAGCGUGACGGCGCGAGCAGGUGCGAAAGCAGGUCAUAGUGAUCCGGUGGUUCUGAAUGGAAGGGCCAUCGCUCAACGGAUAAAAGGUACUCCGGGGAUAACAGGCUGAUACCGCCCAAGAGUUCAUAUCGACGGCGGUGUUUGGCACCUCGAUGUCGGCUCAUCACAUCCUGGGGCUGAAGUAGGUCCCAAGGGUAUGGCUGUUCGCCAUUUAAAGUGGUACGCGAGCUGGGUUUAGAACGUCGUGAGACAGUUCGGUCCCUAUCUGCCGUGGGCGCUGGAGAACUGAGGGGGGCUGCUCCUAGUACGAGAGGACCGGAGUGGACGCAUCACUGGUGUUCGGGUUGUCAUGCCAAUGGCACUGCCCGGUAGCUAAAUGCGGAAGAGAUAAGUGCUGAAAGCAUCUAAGCACGAAACUUGCCCCGAGAUGAGUUCUCCCUGACUCCUUGAGAGUCCUGAAGGAACGUUGAAGACGACGACGUUGAUAGGCCGGGUGUGUAAGCGCAGCGAUGCGUUGAGCUAACCGGUACUAAUGAACCGUGAGGCUUAACCUUACAACGCCGAAGCUGUU